rnacentral:rRNA from 1 species
GACGAACCGUGCAAACGUUGUUCGGAAUCACUGGGCUUAAAGGGCGCGUAGGCGGGCAGGCAAGUCGAAGGUGAAAUCCCACGGCUCAACCGUGGAAGUGCCCCCGAUACUGCCUGUCUCGAGGGAGAUAGGGGCGUGCGGAACUUCCGGUGGAGCGGUGAAAUGCGUAGAUAUCGGAAGGAACACCGGUGGCGAAAGCGGCGCGCUGGGCAACAACUGACGCUGAGGAGCGAAAGCGUGGGGAGCGAACAGG